rnacentral:rRNA from 1 species
UACGUAGGGUGCAAGCGUUAAUCGGAAUUAUUGGGCGUAAAGAGCUCGUAGGCGGUUUGUCGCGUCUGCCGUGAAAGUCCGGGGCUCAACUCCGGAUCUGCGGUGGGUACGGGCAGACUAGAGUGAUGUAGGGGAGACUGGAAUUCCUGGUGUAGCGGUGAAAUGCGCAGAUAUCAGGAGGAACACCGAUGGCGAAGGCAGGUCUCUGGGCAUUAACCGCGCUGAGGAGCGAAAAGCAUGGGGGAGCGAACAGG